AUUUUGACCUUGUCAAAAAUGUAAUUGGCUUAUCUUUAAAUGAAUGAACGGUGUGUCUUUGCCUAAAAUGCAUCAAUGUGUCUAUUAUUUGACAUCCAAUAGUUGCCUUUUGUCUAUAUUUUUUCGUAAAAAGGAAUUCAAUCUGCCUCCAUCGUAUAAUUAGCAAUGACUAUUUUUCUGCAUUUAGGAGACCAACGAAAACUUGCAAUAUUGCAAAAAAUCUAACAUAUAUAAUUUGUUUAGCCUUUAAUUAUUCUAAAUGAACUUGUUUUCAAAAUACUUUUUCACUUUUUAUGUAUAAAGCCUAACUAGAAAAAAAGUCGUUAAUUUCUUGACCAUGUUUGAACAUUUGGCAAGUGCUCUCCGCCAUUUGUUCCGAGUACUCUCGGAACGUCUCGGGUUAAAACAAUGGACCUUUUAACGCCAGCGUGUUGCCUUUUAGGAAUCAAAGCCAUUUUAUGUACCUUCUCCAGAGCAAAAGUCGUCCCCAUUCCCAAUUGGAAAUAAGUUCACUUCAGCAGCUGUCCAAAUUAUGAUCCCAAUUAGUAUAGCAGUAUUUUUCCCCAACUGGUAAGAUAGUCAGGCCUCCAUGUUUACAACCGGGAUGCUCACCCCACAUUUACAAUUGUGACCCACAUUUACAAAUGUGACAUCAUAGUAUCACUCUCGUUUGGCUUUUCGGAUAUUAUCAGGUUUUGGAGUUAUUAGCACAACCAGUCAUGUCAGUGGAGAUUUUCUCCUGCAGGAGAAACAUUAAAAGGACAGGAUGGGGAGGAGAGAUUGAAGACAAGCACAGAAAACAAAAUAUUUAUCUAUAAAUAUAAUGGAAAAGAACUUUGUAUUGAUGCUGUCAGGAGUGAACAACCAUACAUGUAUCUGCCAGUUUGUAAAUGAUGGCAAGGACGAUGCAAACUCCACCAUAAACUCAGAGUGUUUAAUGGAAGGAAUUCCUAUGAUUGUUUGCUA